rnacentral:rRNA from 1 species
AGAGUUUGAUCCUGGCUCAGGAUGAACGCUGGCGGCGUGCUUAACACAUGCAAGUCGAACGGGAAAUAUUUCAUUGAGACUUCGGUGGAUUUGAUCUAUUUCUAGUGGCGGACGGGUGAGUAACGCGUGGGUAACCUGCCUUAUACAGGGGGAUAACAGUCAGAAAUGGCUGCUAAUACCGCAUAAGCGCACAGAGCUGCAUGGCUCAGUGUGAAAAACUCCGGUGGUAUAAGAUGGACCCGCGUUGGAUUAGCUUGUUGGCAGGGUAACGGCCUACCAAGGCGACGAUCCAUAGCCGGCCUGAGAGGGUGAACGGCCACAUUGGGACUGAGACACGGCCCAAACUCCUACGGGAGGCAGCAGUAGGGAAUAUUGCACAAUGGGGGAAACCCUGAUGCAGCGACGCCGCGUGAAGGAAGAAGUAUUUCGGUAUGUAAACUUCUAUCAGCAAGGAAGAAAAUGACGGUACUUGACUAAGAAGCCCCGGCUAAAUACGUGCCAGCAGCCGCGGUAAUACGUAUGGGGCAAGCGUUAUCCGGAUUUACUGGGUGUAAAGGGAGCGUAGGCGGCAUGGCAAGUCAGAAGUGAAAGCCUGGGGCUCAACCCCGGAAUUGCUUUUGAAACUGUCAGGCUAGAGUGUCGGAGGGGUAAGCGGAAUUCCUAGUGUAGCGGUGAAAUGCGUAGAUAUUAGGAGGAACACCGGUGGCGAAGGCGGCUUACUGGACGAUUACUGACGCUGAGGCUCGAAAGCGUGGGGAGCAAAUAGGAUUAGAUACCCUAGUAGUCCACGCCGUAAACGAUGAGAACUAAGUGUUGGAGAGAUUCAGUGCUGCAGUUAACGCAAUAAGUUCUCCGCCUGGGGAGUAUGCACGCAAGUGUGAAACUCAAAGGAAUUGACGGGGGCCCGCACAAGCGGUGGAGUAUGUGGUUUAAUUCGAAGCAACGCGAAGAACCUUACCAGGCCUUGACAU